GGCGGGGGCUCCGGCAAAGGCCCGGAAUGUGCGGGGGAAGCGGAGACGAGCCGCUCUCCGUGUCGGUGCCCCUGCUUUAGUACACCGGGCAACCUCUCUAGAGCUCUUUGUCACGUUGUUCUCUAGUUUUUUGUGCAGGACCCCAUCCCUGCUAGAAGCAGCCUUAACCUUCUGCAUUCCGUAUGGAGGUGUGGUGGGUACACAGACCCUGAUUUCGGUUGUCAGCAGUUCAUCCAUCACAGAAUCAAUUCGGUUGGAAAAGACCUCUGCGAUCAUCGAGUCCAGCCUGUGACUGAAUCAUAACAACCAGACCAUGGUACUGAGUGCCUCAUCCUGUCUUUCCUUAAACACCUCCAGGGACAGUGAGUCCACCACCUCCCUGGGCAGCCCAUUCCAAUAUCUAAUUGCCUUUUCUGUGAAGAAAUUCCUCCUAAUGUCCAGCCUCAUAUUCCCCUAGCACAGCUUAAAACUAUGUACUCUCUGCAUGCUAGGUGCUGCCUUUCAGGUCCUGCUGUUACAAAGAGCAGGGAGAGGUGAUAGCAUUCUUUGUCCUCAGUGUCCCUGCAUGGAAGAGGCAAGAUAUUCCCCGCCCCCCCACUUUCCAGGAAGUGUUAAUGAUAAUUUCUACAGUAUUAUCUUUGCUAAUACCUCCAUUCACAUUCUUAUCCUGGAGAAAGAGAGGAAAAUUGAAGAGGAUAUGUCACCAAUGUGGUAGUGUAAGUAGCCUGAAGCAUAGCAAUCUAUGGCCACUGCUUUCUGAGUGUUUGAAAUCUGAGCUGAGCUGUUCAGAGCAUCCCUACUGAGGGGAAUAUCCACUUUGUACAAAAUGCACAGGCUCUUGAGUAAGGCAGAUAAACUUAACUUGAUAGAUUUUUGCAUGCUUCCUGAUAAGAGCUUCAGUACUUGGCAAAUUCCAAUGAGGUUCUUUGCAGCUCUGGCCAUGUGUCAGCACUUGUACACACAGCACAGCAUGGAUCCAAAUCCCAGAGUAACCAACAGGAUGAUGGCUUUAUCUUCUUCAAACUCUGAAUAAGACUCUUAACCCAAAGAAACCUUCUUAAUCUGAAUACAAGGUUGUCCUUUUCUUGUGACUUUUUUCAUUUUCAUGCCUGUUAAUAGAUCUGUGUUCUUAUAAAACGUGAGUUAAAAUGGAGUGCACUUUAUUUUUGAGGUUAACAUGAAUUCCUCACAACCUGUAGCUGUGAAUGCUUGCUUUGAUGGCUGAGACUGACAGUAACAGACUGUUACUGUCUGAUGUUGAUUAAGCAUUAUUUAGAAAAGCACAAAUGAAGACUGAAACUAAUGCAAAGGUG